UAGUCCAAAUCCCUUGCUUACCGCACUAUUUGUAUCAGUCCGCUCUACUAGCAGACUUUCUUUCAUAAAUAAUGCAGCACCUUUUUAUUGCAAUUGCAUUAUCUUUUAUAUAUAUGUUCAUUAUAUGACAUCUUGCACCCGUAUAUUUUGGUACGGUCCAAUAAACCGGGGGCUUACGUUCCCCACUCUAUGGUGUGAUAAGUCCGAACACUUUCACAAGUGCGGCACCCCGAACUUAUAGCAUUAUAUGAAUCGGCUCCGAAUCAUGUCUUGGGUCAAUAGUUGGGUUUGCCCGGCUCCCAUGUUUUGGUGCCUUACGUUCCGUUCCGUCGGCUAAGGUGGCACUGGGAGAACCACUGCGAUUGCGCCCCGGUUGAGCCGUGCGAGUGCCUCAGUGGAGAAAGCUAAAACUGACUGGCAUGAUAAGGCGAGAGACUGGUUGCUAUUCGAGAGGUUUUUUCGGGUCCUUAAAGACUCACGCCGCUUCGAGCGAAGUUCCGGACAAUGUCCGAUGAAGGCGUGGAUAGCGCCCCGGAUUCGGUCUUCCGAAUACCAGGGGCUUCACUGAAAUUUAAAAUUAUAGAAUUCUAUGGCUAAGUGAGAGUGUUCAAGCACUAUAAGUCCGGUUGCCUUGUUCGUUGUGUUGAGCGCCUCCCUCGAUGGACCCAACAAUGCGAACAAGAGUGCUCAAGUUUAUCCCGAACACCCCAGCACUCGUGGAUUGGGGGCUGAAGCCAACGACUUGCCAUCUCUCAGAUUUUAUAAACGGCUGCACAGAAGGUAAUAUUUUAAAUUAAACAAGUGUUGCUCAUGGCGCAUAUGAACGAAGUUUUCAGCGCACAGGAUAAAUACAUAGCGAGUUCACUCAAAGAUUACAUUUCGAGAGCACUCAUCGGCAAUAUCGCAGGCUCCCUUCAGGACAAUUUUAUAAUACUUCUCCGGCGUACGAUACUCCCUGCCCGGUGGUGGUGGAUCCGUGAGAAGCUUCUCCGCAUCCAACUUGCCCCAGUGCACCUUUGUGCGGGCAAGGGCCCGAUGAGCGCCUUCAAUACAGGCGGAGCGCUUGAUGACCUCCACCCAGGGGCAUGCAUCCACCAGCCGCCGCACGAGGCCAAAGUAGCUCCCAGGCAUGGCCUGUCCCGGCCACAGCCGGACUAUGAGGCCCUUCAUGGCCUCCUCAGCUACCUUGUGGAGUUCGACCAGCUGCUUCAGCUGGUCGCUUGGGGGCACCAGAUGGCCGGCCUCAGCGUACUGAGACCAGAAGACCUUCUCCGUCGAGCUCCCCUCCUCACCAUGAUAGAAUGCGGCGGCAUCAGACGCACUAUGCGGCAGAUCUGCAAACGCCCCUGGACAGCUCCGAAUGCGGGUAAGUGUCAGGUAGUUCACAUUAACAUGCCUGCUUUGCAUGAAAAAUGCCUUACCCGACGCUAUCUUCUUUAUGUCCUCAACCUCCUGAAGGGCCUUAUGGGCCUCGGCCUUGGCGGACUUGGCACUUUCGAGAGCCGAGGCAAGCUCAGACUCUCGAGUCUUGGAGUCACGCUCCAAACUCUCAUUUUUUUCCAUGAGAGCCUGGAGCUCUUGCCGAACUUCCGCCACCCGUGCCUCUUGCUUUUCUCGCUCAGCCCGUUCCACGGCCGCAUUGCGUUCGGCCGCGGACACAGCAUCCUUCAGGGCUGCCACCUCAUUAGUGGCCCCUGCAAUACACAUAUUAUCCUUGUUAAAUUUUAUUGCAACCAAAAUCCUUUUCUGUAAGGUACCUAUUCAAGGUGGUGUUACUCACCUUCUUUUUCCUCGAGCUGCCUCUUGGCAUGGCCGAGCUCUUGCUCGGACCGCUCGAGAUCCUUCUUCAGCACAUCGACCUCCGCCGUUAGUGCGGCAGAGGUCAGCAGCGCAGCCUGCAAACCCAUAUUGACAUAUUUUAGGCAACCCUGUGUAUAUCUUGUUAGAUCCUCAGUCCGACUUUUCUUUCCGAACACCGAACUAAGCAUCACGGGCUACUGUCUAUGCGGUACUACAUUACAUAAUUUUAAUUUCUUACCUCAAAGCCUGUUAGAAGGCUGCUGCAGGCUUCGGUCAGCCCGCUCUUAGCGAGCUGAACCUUCUCAAUCACCGCACUCAUGAUAGUGCGAUGUUCUUCCUCGAUGGAAGCGCCUUUAAGCGCCUCCAACAAGUUAUCCGGCGCCUCCGGUUGGACGGAGGCCACUGGCAUCACGGUCCUGCCCUUCUUUCGAAGGGGCCGCUUGCCGGACUAUGGAACCACUGCGGGUUCCGAUGUAGAGUCCGGCACAAAGUCCGGGAGGCUGCCUGACGGCGCCUCCGGAGCCUCCUCCUGAUGGGUCCCUCUCUGGGAUCCCACCUCGGCGUCUUCACCUCGGGGGGUAGUGGCGGUCGGAAGUGAGUCCACAUCCGACGGGGCCAAUGACCCGCUUGAUGAAGUGGGAAGAUCAUCAUCGGCCGGACUACGGACAGAAUACAGCGUUAGAAGGACAAUACGCGACACAAAAGAAAUUACACAUCAAGGAUCCGGAUACUUACGAUCUUGCCGGACGCCUGGCCCUUGGAGGCCACUCAUCCUCGCCAACGCUGGUAUUGGCGGAACUGUCCGGGGGGAUAGUUCUCCCCCUCUUGGACCCUUCGGCCUCCCCGAAUGGGGAAGCCUUCCUCUUCUUCUCUCCCUCCUCCGGGAGAGAAUACUCCUCCUCCUCGUCUUCGGGGGAGGAAUCCGCGUCGUCAUCAGACGCCUGAUUGCGGGAACUCUUUCGAGUCCCCGCGGCCACCUUCUUGGCCUUCUUCUCCGGCACCACGUGCGGUGCCGGAACCAGCAGCCCUGUUAAGCGGGCGUCCACUGGGUCUUCUUGCAUGGGAGCCGGGCUGAUAAGCAGCUUGGCCUUCUCCAUCCAUUCCUGUCAAAGGAAGAGGCAGAAUAAAACCUCACCAAGAGUUAAUUUAAUUGUCCCGUGAUGGGGUUGAAUCACUUACCUCGUCAGUUGGAUACUGCGAGCUGAAUCCGCGAUCUUCCGUCGCGGAUGCGGGGGCUUCGGCGCCCUUGAACAGCACCCUCCAGGCGCCUUCGUAUGUUGUAUCGAAGAGCCCGCUUAGCGCCUGGUGCUGUUCCGGAUUGAACUCCCACAAAUUGAAUGCCCGUUCUUGGCAGGGGAGAAUCCGUCGGAUGAGCAUGACUUGGACCACGUCAACAAGCCUGAGCUUAUUGCUCACCAUCUUCUUGAUGCAAGCUCGGAGUCCCGUCACCUCCACCGGAUUGCCCCACUACAAGCCCUUCUCUUUCCAGGAGGUGAGCUGCAUGGGGAUGCCAGAUCUAAACUCGGGGGCCGCCGCCCAUGUGGGCUUGCGCGGCUCGGUGAUGUAGAACCACCCCGAUUGCCACCCCUUGACGGAGUCCACAAAGGCCCCUUCGAGCCAAAGGACGUUGGGCAAUUUGCCCAACAUGGCGCCUCCGCAUUCCGCUUGCGUGCCCUUCACAUCCUUCGGCUUGACGUUGAAGGUCUUAAGCCACAGGCCGAAGUGGGGCCGGAUGCAUAGGAAGGCCUCGCACACGAUGAUAAACGCCGAGAUAUUGAGGAUGAAGUUCGGCGCCAGAUCGUGGAAAUCCAGGCCGUAGUAAAACAUGAGACCCCGGACGAUUGGAUGGAGCGGAAAGCCCAGUCCGCGGAGGAAGUGGGGGAGGAAGACGACCCUCUCAUGAGGCCCACGGGUAGGGAUGAGCUGCCCCUCGUCGGGCAGCCGAUGCGCGAUAUCGCUGGAAAGGUAUCCGGCGCUGCGCAGCUUGGUGAUGUCCUCCACCUUAGCAGUGGAGGCCAACCAUUUACCUCCCGCUCCGGACAUAUUCGGAGAAGGUCGAGGCGAGAUGCGCAAGCUUGGGCGUUGGAGCUUGAGUGCACGGAGAUGGAUAAGCAAAGGAGGAAGAAGGCGUAGGUGAGAAGGUGAAUUCUUAUCCCUUAUAUAUAGGCGGACGAAAACUAUGCGUCCCCCACCGGCCUGAUAAAACUCGCUUAUCUCCCAAGCGCCACCAUCAAUGGCGUGGUUGGGUUACCCACGUCUGUAUUGAUGAGGAUCCCGGAAUAAGGGGAACACGAUCUCUGCUUCGACAAGACGUGCCAAGGAAACCGCUUCGCUAAAUGUGCUGAGGUGGUAUAGUAAAAAAAGAUUCAAACAAAGGCUUGGUAGCGGUGUGAUGUCACGCCGCAUAAUACGUCCGCAGAUUGAGCUAGUGUAUAUCUUAUUCUCUCUAUGGUGGAAUGUGGAAUUUAUUUUGCAGAGCCGGACACUAUCCUGGUGUUCAUGAUCUUCUCUGGAUUAUUCAAGGGAGGAACCCGCCUUGAAUGCCGAACAUUAUGCGCGCCGGACUUAUCGUCAUUGAAGACUGGUUCAGGGGCUACUGAGGGAGUCCUAGACUAGGGGGUGUCCGGAUGGCCGGACUGUCAAUAUCCGCCGGACUACAAGACUACGAAGAUACAAGAUUGAAGACUCCAGCUCCUGUCCGGAUGGGACUUUCCUUCGCGUGGAGGCAAGCUUGGCAAUACGAAUAUGUAUACCUCCUACCAUUGUAACCGACUCUCUGUAACCCUAGCCUCCUCCGGUGUCUAUAUAAACCGGAGGGCUUUAGUCUGUAGGACAACAUACACUACAACAAUCAUACCAUAGGCUAGCUUCUAGGGUUUAGCCUCCUUGAUCUCGUGGUAGAUCCACUCUUGUACUACCCGUAUCAUCAAUAUUAAUCAAGCAGGACGUAGGGUUUUACCUCCAUCGAGAGGGCCCGAACCUGGGUAAAAACAUCGUGUCCCUCGUAUCCUGUUACCAUCCGCCUAGACGCACAGUUCGGGACCCCUACCCGAGAUCCGCCGGUUUUGACACCGACAAUGACCGCUACCCUGGAUCUCACUACUAUCAUUGCUAUGCUAGUUGCUUCAUUCUAUCGCUAUGCUGUGCUACCUAUCACUUGUUCUUCAUGCCUCCCCAAAUCGCCAUGUCAGCCUCUAACCUUUUUUCACCCUUCCUAGCAAACCGUUGUUUGGCUAUGUUACCGCUUUGCUCAGCCCCUCUUAUAGCGUUGUUAGUUGCAGGUUGUCGGGGCGUAUCUCUGUGGCCUCGAGCACCUAUGGGGCACUGGGGGCCCCUUCUGGUUCGGCAAGGGAGCGGAGGGCGUGCGCAGAGCAGAUCGAGGUUGAGCGCGCGGGGGAGACAGGCCAUUUUUACCCAGCUUCGGGGCUCUCCGAAGAGAUAAAACCCCUACUGCUGCUUUGGUGAUUGUAUUUGAUCUUGCUCGAGCGUGCGAGCGUAUGGUGAUCUCGUUGGUGUCGAAUGGACCGAACCCCUUCUACGUGCGCAUGGGCCUCCCUUUUAUAGUCUGAAGGGGGCACCCAUAGGUGGCAGCGUAGGAAGAGGGGGUAAAAAGGUAAAAACGCAGGUUGGUACAACAGUGCACAACAGUGCCCCUACCUAACUCUGACGGCAGGGGACAAGGGCAUUAAAUGCCCGUCUGGUCGCCCCAACAGUGUAAAGAAAUGACCGUUAGGUGAGCCACCGGUUGCCACGAUGGCGCCUCUGUCAGCUCCGUUUGCCACCUCGCUCCGCAUGGCUGCGUAGUGCCUCGCCACAUGCCCUUGGGAUGGCCUUGUGAUGACACGUCGCCGGGUGCGAUGGAGUUUGGGUGGCAGCCUUGCCGCGGCAAGUGCCUUGCCACGACCCUUCUCCUGUUGUGCCGGCAAGCUUGCCGGCCGUCGGGCCUUGCCGGGACGCGCGGGGCGCCGCGGCAAGUCUCCUGGUGGUGCCUUGGUUGGCCUUCCCGGCAAGCUCCUCUUGCCGGGGCCCUCGUUUUCUUGGUUAGUACUUUGUUCUUGAAUGGCAGUAAUGGGAAAUGGUGGAGGGUCUUGGCGGGCGCCCGGCAAGCCUUGCCGCGGGGUGCUGUGACUGCCCGUGCACAAGUUCGGGGUACUAAGGUACCCCUACUUUAGUACACCGACAGGAGCCCCCGGGCCUGGGCCAUACACGGUGCCGAGCGUUGUUGGGCCAGGCCCAAAACAGUGCACGGGCACGCGUGGCCUGGGUCCACUCAAAAAUCGACCUCCGAGCCCACCGCACUCUCCCGCAACGGCACGCAUCGAUUGCGGCGUCGUGGGAGACGUGGGUGGCGUGUGCGAUCUUCAAGGCGCCCACCCCGUGAUCACGGGGCAGGGCGAGGUCACUUCAUCCGUCGCCCCGUCUCUGCUUUUUCGCCACGCGGCUCCCAUGCGCAGGGGGUCGUGUGCGGCGAAGGUGGGAGAUCGGGCCGUCACGGGCGGAGAUGGUGGGUCGGCCCCGCUCCUCUGCCGCCCUCGUGCCCCAAUUGGCUGAGCGGGGCGGCCGAGCCCCCACCUCGCUCCUUUAAGAAGGGUGGAAGGGGAGCGCAAAAAAUCCCGCACUCCAUCCCCUUCCUCUUCCUUCAUCUUCCGUUACUCUUCCUCCCAUCUGCCAUGGAGGGAGGGAAUCCUGGUCCUUCUUCGGUGGCGGCGAGGGUCGCCACCAGGCAGCGCGCCUCUCCCUAUCCUGCGCCUGCGGCGGCGGAGCCAUCCGCGAGGGGAAGAGGGAGGGGGCGAGGCCGGGGACGUGGUCGGAGCGCUCGGGGGAGAGGCGGCCGGGGCGAUGCGCCACCCCCGUCUCCGCCGGCAGCUCCUCUCCUUGAGGCGGUCCACACUGGGGACGACCCCUGGGAGUUCUUCAUCAAGCUGCGCCGAGCACCUCGUCGCCGCCUCCGGCUGCCGGCUCUGUUCGCGAGCGCGAUGGAACCGGAUCCGCCCAAGAUGUUGGAGUUGCACAUGAGGGGUUGCGGGAUCAGCGGCACUCGAGUGAGUGUCGUAUCCCCAGCCCCCGGUGUGAUGUACUUCGACCGAGGGUGGAAGACGUUCGCCCGCAUCCAUAGCUUGACGGCGGGGUUUUCCCUCCAUUUUAAGUUAAUGGAGGGCGACCUUCUCGCCGUCAAGGUCUUCGGGGACUCCGGCACCAGGGCGAGAUGCUGCGUGGACAGCUCCUCCGAUAGCGAAGGCCCCUCCUCGAGCGAGAGUGACGAGGAGGGGAGCGACAGCGACGACGAGGAUGGCGGGUCCGACUAGGCGUCGGUCGCUGCCUCGCGCGCCAUCGGCGACCCCAUCAUCCGGGUCGCCGGCCUUCUGAACUCCCCGGGGCCGUCUCCUUGGGCGGCUGGCGUAGGGAGGCUGCGGAAGAGGAAGAGGGGUGGCGGCAAGGCCGUCAAUUCGGAGUACGAGGGCGAGGAGCCCUCGACAGCGUGCUGACGUCCCGCCGCCCCGUCUUCAAGCUCUGCCUCUGGCGCCUCCGCUUCCGCCGAGCUCCUGGCCGGCCCCCGGGAAGUUCUCUUGGUGUCUUCUGGCGCCCGUAGCUCACCUAGGCGCCCCUUUUGCCCUCCCCGGCAAGCUUCUCUUGCCGGGGCCUCCUUGACCUACCUCCUGGAGAGGGAAACAGGAGAGGGAUUACAGGCAUCUCAUCUUUUUAAUUUGUAAGCCUUCGGGCCUUAGCUGUAUUUAAAAUCUGUAAUCCUCUCUAUCAUGUUUUUCAUCCUCUAUGGACUUGUACUAAACUGGGAUGUUUUUAAUGAAAAAGAGGGGAAAACUUGCCGGAGUGAGUCCUUUACUUGAUUUCGUGCCUUGUAUGUUUCUGCCCUACGCUUCUAGGGAACUUACCGGAGCAAACACACUUGCUGAGUACGGAACGUCAGCAGCCCGCUGGCGGUGUUCCUCCCGGCAAGAAACCUUGUCGGGCCAGUUGCAGCGCGCUUGUAUUGUUGAGCGGACUCGGAAACAAAAUCAAGGGCGCAACUUGGCCACGACUCGGCUCCUCCACGCACGGGUUUUUCUUUACAAGGCACGCUCGUUCAAGGACGCGGCCCCGCCUUCCCCAGUCCAUAAGAGGAUGCAUGAUGAGGGAUGAAAAACUUAUCUGACUCCGCAGCCCCCGGCGACUUUAGCUUGCCGGGGAGGAACCUUGGCAUCCGCGGCCCCCGGCAAGUCUGGCUUCGCCAAGACCCAGGUGCCGGCGCGCCUUCCUUUGCCCUUGUCGCCGACGCCGCGGCCUCCGGUGACUCUGGCCCGUUGCGAGGGAACUUCGGCACUUGCAGCCCCCAGCGAAGCUGGCUUGCCGGGGCCCCUGCACCAGCGCGCCCCUCUGGCUUCUCCUUGUCACUGUGAUUAUAGCCACGAAAAUAACUGAGACAGCGCUGUAAUAAGCUAUUCUUUCAUGGUGCGACUCUGCAAUGCGAUGCCAUGCCUUGCCCUUCGUAUGUUUGCACUCUACGCUUUCUAGGGAACUUGCCGGUGCUAACACACUUGCUAAGUGCGGAACAUCAGCAGCCCGCUGGCGGUGUUGUUUCCGGCAAGAAACCUUCUCGGGUCAGUUGCAGCGCACUUGAAUUGUUGAGCGGACUCGGAAACAAAUCAAGGGCGCAACUCAGCCGCGAGUUAGUUCCUCCGCGCACAAGUUUCUCAUACGAAGGACGCCCCAUGGCAAGGCUUGCUACGUUACGCCCUCUACUUUGUUAUAUCCUUUGUACGUUUUUACCCUACGCUUCUAGGGAACUUGCCGGCGCUAACACACUUGCUGAGUACGGGACAUCAGCAGCCGCUGGCGGUGUUGUUUCCGGCAAGAAACCUUCUCGGGCCAGUUGCAGCGCACUUGUAUCGUUGAGCGGACUCGGAAACAAAACAAGGGCGCAACUUAACCACGAGUUGGUUCCUCCGCGCACAGGUUAUUCGUACAAAGGACGAACGCACGAGGAACAUAACAUAAAAAAAGCAUAGGACUAAGAAGUGCUCUGUACAAAAGCUCGGGUGACUUAGCUUUUCCGUCUUCAGCAAUCCGCCGAGGCCGUGCUUCUUCCCCGAUUCCCCCCCCCUUUUAUGUCUUCAUCCUCACACUUUCGGGGAACUUCCCGGUGCAAACACACUUGCUGAGUGCAGGACAUCAGCAGCCCGCUGGCGGUGUUGCCUCCGGCGGGAAGAACUCGUCGGGCUGGUUGCGGUGUGCUUUUAUCGUCGAGCGGACUCGAAACGGAUCAACGGCGCAACCUAACCACGAUUCGACCCCUCUGCGCACAGGUUCUUCAUACAAGGUAUGGACUCUCGGAGAGCACAACUCAAAAGUUCGAAGCUUGGCAACUUUCUUUGCCUCACUGGCUGGCAGAGCUCGAUGGUGCGUCCUCGACGGCAGCGCGACGCUCCGGAGAGGCGGGCUUGCCGGAGCAAGCACCAGAGCCGUUCUUGCCGGGCUUAGUCUUUGGUUGGUCUGUCUUUGUCUUCUCGCACUUGCCGGUGGAGCUCGAUGGUGCGUCCUCGACGGCAGCGCAGCGCUCCGGGGAGGUGCGCUUGCCGGAGUGGGCAUCAGAGCUAUUCUUGCCAGACUUGGCUUUCUUCUUCCCCCGGGGAGCUUCAGCGGCAAGUGGCUCACGCUCUGCUGCGGCUGCUGCUUCCCGGUAGAUCUUGUUGGCGCAGAUGAGUGCAUCCCUGUUGUCGCCUUGGACAGAGAUGACACUCAUCGGACCAGGCAUCUUGAGCACAUUGUAUGUGUAGUGAGAGGCCGCCAUGAACUUGGCGAGUGCGGGUCGACCGAGUAUCCCGUUGUAGGGUAAUGGGAUAUCAGCCACGUCAAACGUGACCCUCUCAGUCCUGAAGUUCAGUUCGCUGCCGAACGUCACUGGCAAUGUGAUCUUCCCCUUUGGCUUGCUCCUUCCCGGAUUUAUUCCUUGAAAGGCACCAGUUUCUUCGAGCUCGCUGUCGGGGAUCUGGAGCUUUUUGAGCACUGCGGAGGAAAUUAGGUUCAGGCCGGCCCCGCCGUCGACCAACAUCUUCGUAACCUUGAGGUUGCGGAUUGUUGGUGAGACCAACAUCGGCAAGCACCCGACCGUAGUGAUGCGAUCAGGGUGGUCCUCAACGUCGAAGACGAUGGGCAUGCUGGACCACUUCAGAGGCUUGCGCGCCUCGACGGACGGCUCCGCUGCAUUCACUUCUCGCACCCACUGUUUGAGUUGGCGGUGCGAGGUGUGCAGGGAGGCGCCGCCGUCGAUGCACAACACUUCUGUUGCCUUCUGAAACUCCUGGUCAUCAGUCUCAUCUUCCUCCGUCUCAUCAUCCUCAUCUUCAUCUUCGUCCUUGUCGCGGCCGCGGGGAGGCCUGUCUCCUUGCCGCGGCUUAGCCUUGCCGCGGUGCCCUCCCCGGGCGGGAAGCUUCUUGCCGGAUCCUCCGCCACCUCCCUGGGCUCUCUCCUUAUCGCGGCGCUCGUAUUCGGCUUUUUGUAGCUCCGCCAUCUGCUCCACUUUCUUGCAGGUUUGGAGAUCAUGUCCCUUGGUGCGGUGGAUCUUGCAAUACCGCUUGCCGGAGCCAUCCUGCUUGUCGGCGGCUGCUACAGCCUCGCCGGAGUCGUCGGUCUUGGCCUUGUCGGAGCCGCCUCCGUUGCCGGAAUGCUCAACAGCUAGUACAUCCUUAGCCUUUCUCUUCCUAUUCUUCCGCCUCCGGUUCUUCCUUGCCGGGGCGGCAUCCUCACUGUCAGAUCCUUCUGCUCCAGCAACCUCUCCGGGGAUUUUCCUCCCCUCCUCAGCCCAUGCACACUUGUCGGCCAGAGCGUAGAGCUCGCUGACAUCUCUGAUUUUGCACAUCGCCAUCUCCUCCCUCAUCCUGCGGUUACGCACGUUCUGAUGAAACGCGCUAAUAACCGCGGCGGGGUGGACGUCUGGGAUGUUGCGCUGCACCUGGCUGAAUCUUUGUAUGUACUUGCACAGGGGCUCCCCCUCCUUCUGGACGAGCAAGUGGAGGUCACUCUCCUGGCCAUGAGGCUUGUGGCCACCCGUGAAGGCGCCGACAAACUGAUGACACAGGUCUGCUCAUGAGGAGAUGGAGCCGUCCGGCAAGUGCAUGAGCCAAGAUCUGACGUUGGGCUUGAGUACCAGCGGGAAGUAGUUGGCGAGGAUCUUCUCGUCGCGCCCUCCGGCAGCCUGCACCGCGAUGGUGUAGAUGCUGAGGAACUCCGACAGAUGUAUCCUGCCAUCAUACUUCUCGGGCACGUCUGGCUUGAAGUUUUUGGUUUUGGGCCACUGGACUUGCCGCAACUCACGGGUGAACGCAGGGCAACCUGCCACGUACGGCAAGUCGCCUGGUUCUCCGGGUGCAUGCAUGUCGACGGCGGGCCCAGCGCGCUGGUCAGAUUGACGUCGCGCUUCUCUCCGGCGCUCGAUGCGAGUGCGGGCGUCUUCGUGUUGCCGUUCUUGGAGGACGUGGCGUUGAUCACGGCGAGUUCGCGGGUCUGAAGACGCGGUGGAGUCGCCGUCGGGGUUGGUCCGGCGAGCCGGCGAUCUUGGCCUUCGGCGCUGGGAGUGCACGGAGGUGGCACCCCCAGCGGUCUUGUCAGCGUCGGCUUGCGCCUGGGCGCCUUGCCGGGGCCUCGAUACGCUCGGUCGCCGGGGUUUGUCGCCGUUGGCGAAGCCGAUGAGGCUGUAUAUGGUCAUCCUCCAGUCGUCGAUCUUGUGCGGCGCCGGAGGAUAGUCUAGAAGCAGCUGGGCUCGGGCCAGCGCUUCCUCUGCUGUCUUCGGUGGCGGUGGUGAUGAACGGCGCCAGGAGCGGGAUGUGCUCGGACUCCGAACUGGAUUGGGAGGUGCAACACCUCGUCCGGGCGACCGUACCUCGCUCGCGCCAGCAUGCGGGCGUGCAUGCUGGCCUCGAGCGUCCCGCAACCCACCAGCUUGGCCUUGUUCCAACGCGAGCACGGUGCUAGGAGCACCGGGGCGUUGUUGACCUUGCACCUCCUGGGAAGGGUGCGGUGUCUGUACGGUCGCCGACGCUUGCGGGGCCUUGUUCUUGGAUCUAGUGACGACGCGAGACCCUCCCGCGGCUCCUGCUCCUCCACCGGCGUCUACUCCACCACCUGUUUGCUCCGGCGGUGGUGGCGGAAUUGAUGUAGACGGAGCGGCAACCUCCGAAGGCUUCUUCUUCGGUGGCAUGUUGAGGAUGACGUUGAUGUAGCGCGCGCGGAGACCGGAUCAGAUGCUCACGACCUCGACGCCCCCCUACCUGGCACGCCAAAGAUGUCAGGGUGUAUCUCUGUGGCCUCGAGCACCUAUGGGGCACUGGGGGCCCCUUCUGGUUCGGCAAGGGAGCGGAGGGCGUGCGCAGAGCAGAUCGAGGUCGAGCGCACGGGGGAGACGGGCCAUUUUUACCCAGCUUCGGGGCUCUUCGGAGAGAUAAAACCCCUACUGCUGCUUUGGUGAUUGUAUUUGAUCUUGCUCGAGCGUGCGAGCGUAUGGUGAUCUCGUGGGUGUCGAAUGGACCGAACCCCUUCUACGUGCGCAUGGGCCUCCCUUUUAUAGUCUGAAGGGGGCACCCACAGGUGGCAGCGUAGGAAGAGGGGGUAAAAAGGUAAAAACGCAGGUUGGUACAACAGUGCCCCUACCUAACUCUGACGGCAGGGGACAAGGGCAUUAAAUGCCCGUCUGGUCGCCCCAACAGUGUAAAGAAACGACCGUUAGGUGAGCCACUGGUUGCCACGAUGGCGCCUCUGUCAGCUCCGUUUGCCACCUCGCUCUGCAUGGCUGCGUAGUGCCUCGCCACGUGCCCUUGGGAUGGCCUUGUGAUGACACGUCGCCGGGUGCGCUGGAGUUUGGGUGGCAGCCUUUCCGCGGCAAGUGCCUUGCCGCGGCCCUUCUCUUGUUGUGCCGGCAAGCUUGCCGGCCAUCGGGCCUUGCCGGGACGCGCGGGGCGCCGCGGCAAGUCUUCUGGUGGUGCCUUGGUUGGCCUUCCCGGCAAGCUCCUCUUCCCGGGGCCCUCGUUUUCUUGGUUAGUACUUUGUUCUUGAAUGGCAGUAAUGGGAAAUGGCGGAGGGUCUUGGCGGGUGCCCGGCAAGCCUUGCCGCGGGGUGCUGCGACUGCCCGUGCACAAGUUCGGGGUACUAAGGUACCCCUACUUUAGUACACCGACACAGGUGAAGUUGAAGAUUGCCCCAUGAUGGACAGGAUUAUGUUGGGAUAUCACAAUAUCUCUUAUUUAAUUAAUGCAUCUAUAUAUUUGGUAAAGGGUGGAAGGCUCGGCCUUAUGCCUGGUGUUUUGUUCCACUCUUGCCGCCCUAGUUUCCGUCAUACCGGUGUUAUGUUCCUGGAUUUUGUGUUCCUUACACGGUCGGGUGAUUUAUGGGACCCCCUUGACAGUUCGCUUUGAAUAAAACUCCUCCAGCAAGACCCAACGUUGGUUUUACCAUUUGCCUCACCUAGCCCUUUUUCCCUUGGGUUUCCGGAGCCCGAGGGUCAUCUUUAUUUUAGCCCCCCCGGGCCAGUGCUUGUCUAAGUGCUGGUCCGAACCGAGUAGACCGCGGGGCCCCCCUCGGGGAAACUCGAGGUCUGGUUUUACUCGUAGGAUGUCUCAUCCGGUGUUGCCCUGAGAACGAGAUAUGUGCAGCUCCUAUCGGGAUUGUCGGCGCAUCGGGCGGCUUUGCUGGUCUUGUUUUAUCAUUGUCGAAAUGUCUUGUAAACCGGGAUUCUGAGACAGAUCGGGUCUUCCUGGGAGAAGGUAUAUCCUUCAUUGACCGCAAGAGCUUAUAAUGGGCUAAGUUGGGAUACCCCUGCAGGGUAUUAUCUUUCGAAAGCCGUGCCCGCGGUUAUGUGGCAGAUGGGAAUUUGUUAAUGUCCGGUUGUAGAUAACUUGACACCAGAUCCGAAUUAAAAUGCAUCAACCGUGUGUGUAGCUAUCGUUCUCCAAAUCUUACUAGUGCAUUGUUCAAAUACCCUCUAAUCAGUUCAUGAUCUCUUCGUUCUCAUGUAUCUAAAUCCCCUCAAGUAUCUUCAUUCAUUUUCCAAUUCUUCCCGAUGAAUUGUGCCUUUGCUACUUUCAUUUUCAAUUCUUAUGGUGGUUCGUUCAAGAUUUCACUUCCUUCGUUAUCAUAUCAAAUAUUUGUUGUUUCCAAAUCCCACCGGUGGUUCCAUCAAUACCUUCUCAAGUUUACGCUAUAUCUCUUUUAAUCCUUUCUACGGGAAUAAGUAGUAUGCCAAAUCCAUUGCUUGUCAUCAAUUAAAUUUGAUGAAGGAUAAGCAUACAAUAAAUCUUAUUCUUAUUUUCUUGAGGUGACUCAAUUCUUUUUACGGAGAUUAUUCAUGAUGAAUAAAUUCUUGAUUACAAGUGAUACAUCUUUAUUUCCGGAGUUGGUCAUCAUAUCACAUUCUCGGUUCGAGAGGCUUCAUCUUUCUUUUCGUAGUUCCAAGCUCUCUCAAUUAUCUCGUCCCGAAGCUCCAUCUAAAUCAUUGCAAGGCUUCAAUCUUGUUCGCUUCAGUCUUCAAUUCUUUUAUGUUAUCAUUUCCUAUCUGGAGUUCUUCAUGGAGGCUCAACAUCGUGGUUCAUCAAGGAUUUAAUUCAUUCUUGAAGUGUUCUUCAAGACUCUUGUUGGAGGAGUUCAAGCAUCCUUCAUCGUGCUUUCCGAAGUGCAAUUUCUUCUAUCUUAUCUUUUGAGAUGGUGUUAUGUCACUCUUGACAAUUUCCCUUUGUGUUUCAUGAUUCACAACUUUUCAGGAAUGAGAUAUUGUAAAACCAUCAUUUUCUCUUCUUUCAUGAGUUGUUUCAACCCAUGAUAAUUUCUUUGUUGGAGUUAUCGUGAUAUAGAUUUCACCUAAAGCCUCCCCUAAGGAAUGUUGCUAUUUGUGGUACUUAUCAAUGAUCCAAGUUAUCUCUUUAUCAUGGUGGAAGAAGUUUUUCAUCUCUUCAUUGAUCUCAAGCAAGCAAUUGUUUUUCGUUAGUGGCAGAAUUUUACCUCUUAGUCCUGGAAUGUUUUCCAUAAGGCCACUACAAGCUUAUUCGUUUCGUUGUUGGUUUUCCAACAACUCCGUUCUAGCAUUUCUUGUAAGCGUGCUCUUUCAAGAUCUUGUUUCCCUCCGUUCAUUCCAUUCCAUUCUUUCAUUUCUUCCGGAGCCAUUGUGAUGUUGCUCUCGUUAACCCAUCAUCUCGUUUUGUCAAGAUCAUAUUAUUCUCUUGCUUAUCCAUUUAACCGGAGUGUUGUGUUCUAAUUCAAGUUCUUUCAUCUUGUCAAGUUUUGCCUCUAUUUUCAACCUAAGUGCUUUCGGAGGCAGUGUGUUGUUGAUUUCAUCAAGUUUCAUCCCAUCUUCUCAAGUUCAUGUUCAAUUCCUUCCAUUUACAGUCGGAGUGCUGCCCAAAUUAUAUCAUUCUUAUUCAUUCUUAUCUCGUUUCAACCAGAGUGGUUUCAAUUCCUUCCUGUCCAUUGUGCUUGUCAUUCAUAGCUUUGCAACCUCCAAGGUUCACAUGGUGUUCCUUGGUUCUCUUUUCUACUGGAGUGCUCUCAAUUGUGUUCAACUCUGUUGUGUUCUUUCUUUCAACUUUUCAACCUCUCAAGGUUCAUGGUUUCACUCGUUCGUCAAAGAAGCAACUUAAUUUUACCUCUUAUCUUCCUCUUCCUUUUCCCUCCGGUGCCAUCCUAGAUCUCGGGACGAGAUCCUCUUGCAGUGGUAGAGUGUUGUAACGCCCCGGAUACAACUUUCCAUAUUCGUAACUCCAACUCUUGCCUUUUCCGGAGAUGAGAUAUAAUAUUUCCUCCGUGGUUGGGGUUUUUCUCUUUUGUUUUGCAUUUUGUUCUUGGCGUGCAUCUCAUCUCAUAGCAUCAUGCGCAUUGCAUUUGCAUGCUUUCAUAAAAAACUCGUAGACGUUCGCAGUUGCCCUUUCUCUCUUUGCCUCCGUUGUCAUUUUGUCAGACCCUUGUCCUUGUUGACCUCUCUUGACCCCUCUCGCGCGUGUCCGAAACUCCCCCGAACCCGACCCGGACAGUCAUCACCGUUGGGUUCGGAUCAUCCCCCAACAUCUAUAAAACAUCCCCGUUUUCUUAAUUGGACGUCCUAACCUAUUUUCCCUCAGCCGUCCGAUUACGAUCCGAGGGUCAUUCUAGUACCUUCCUAAAACUCCUUUGCUAUAUAAAAAGACCAACCCAAGAUCCUAGGAGCCUUGUCCCAUCGCGCCGCCGCCACUCCUCCCGUCCCCUCUUCCUCUGGAUCUCCUCUCGAUCAAAAAUCCUCCCCUCGUUUUCAGCCUCGAACCAACCAGCUACCACCGAUCCUCUUCCUUGGGAUCCAUCCCUUCCCGAUCCACCAACCACAACCAGGCUCCUUCUCCUCCUCGUUUCCCCUCCUCUGCUCGUUCAUCCCCGAGCAGCGCCUCCACCGUCGCCGGUGACCGCGUCACUAGGACCCUCGCGCACGAGCUCCUCCCUUCUCACGCGCCUGAGACCAGUAGCAGCAGCCCCAGGCCGACCCCGCGCCCUCUCCCUUGGUCCUUCCUUCUCUUCCUUCUUUCUCCUGAUCUCACAUCUCUCUCUCUCGCUCUCGCAGGACCCUGACGGCCAAGGCGCCAGGAGCCCGCAGCCACAGCCAUGCAGCCCCGCAAGCAGCAGCUCCACCGGAGCUCCCUCUGCCGUCUAGCCCGUCCAGCCAGGUCGCCCCGUUGCGCCCCCCGUCCUUCCAUGGUUCUCCUUUCUCAUCCUUGUGCCUCACCUCUCUCUUUUGCGGGUUUCUGCAAGAGCAGCAGCAACCGCCAUGGCCGCCUGAGCUCUUCAACACAGUCCGCGCCCUUCCCUGCAUCGGAUCCGGCUGGAUCCGCCUCCUCCUCCAGCCACGGCCCUUCCUGGCCGGAUCCCACCGCCGCGCUGCCGUUUCAGGGCUCCAGCUGCUCAAGUCCCUCCUCACCGCGCCUCUGCUUCGUGCAAUCAGUGGACGAGGCGCCAGCUCCCUCAUGCCUCGCGUUGACCGCGCCACUAGCAUGCGUGGGCCACCGCAUCGCCCUUCACCCGCAUCAGCCCAGCAGCCUCUUGCCCCAGCGCCUCCUCAGCCGGCCUGCUGCACCGACUGGGCCGAGCCCAUGGGUGAGCAGCCCCCAAUAGCCCGUCUGCUCUGUUGGGCCAGUCAGUUUCGGCCCAACGCAUGUUUUUUCCCUCUGGACGAUUUUAGCUAUUUAUCCAGAGUUUACUGUUUUACAGAAAAACCCUGAUGCUCAUGCAUGUAAUAACUAAUUAACCAUGCAUCGGUUUAAAAUGUUUUAUAUAUGUAAAAUGCCUAAAAUUUCAUCUAGAUGCAUAAUAUCCAACUUUCAUCCAUGUUUAAAAUGCUUAAAAUGUUGUUUGUUUAAAUUUGCUUAAAUGCCAUGCUAAAAUGAUUUAUUUCAUAACUAAUUAACCGUAGCUCGGUUUUAAAUGUUCUUUAUAUGUAAAUGGGGUGGAAAAAUUCAUAGAAUAACAUGGUCCACCUUAUUUUCCUGUUUAACAACUUUAAAAUAUGGUUUAGGUCAAAACAGUACCAAUUUCGAAAUAUGCAUAUGGGAUUUUCCUGAAUUGUUGUUCGUUGUUCCGGCCUCAUUUAAACUUGCCUAGAUAGGUAGUUUUCUAUGUUUCACCUCUUGCCAUGUUUAACAACAUUUAAUAUUGUUGUGUGCCUAAAUGAGAGUGAACUAAAUAAAUUGAUGUGGUGUUUCGUCAAUAUGUAACCCGUUGCAUAUUGAGCUCCACUUAACUUGUAGUGUUGUUUGUGCACUUUGCCAUGCCAUGCCUCUUUAAACCCGGACAUGCAUCAUACUUGAUUGUGCAUCAUGCCAUGUUUAUGUGUGGUGUGUUUACCAUGUUGUGUGCUUCUUCUCGAUAGUUCCCGUUUGGUUGCGGUCGUGAGGAUUCGUUCGUCUACGCUUGGUUUGGCUUCACCACUUCGUCUUCUUCAUGGACUCGUUCUUCUUCCUAGCGGGAUUUCAGGCAAGAUGACCGCUACCCUGGAUCUCACUACUAUCAUUGCUAUGCUAGUUGCUUCGUUCUAUCGCUAUGAUGUGCUACCUAUCACUUGUUCUUCAAGCCUCCCCAAAUCGCCAUGUCAGGCUCUAACCUUUUUUCACCCUUCCUAGCAAACCGUUGUUUGGCUAUGUUACCGCUUUGCUCAGCCCCUCUUAUAGCAUUUUUAAUUGCAGGUGAAGUUGAAGAUUGCCCCAUGAUGGACAGGAUUAUGUUGGGAUAUCACAAUAUCUCUUAUUUAAUUAAUGCAUCUAUAUAUUUGGUAAAGGGUGGAAGGCUCGGCCUUAUGCCUGGUGUUUUGUUCCACUCUUGCCGCCCUAGUUUCCGUCAUACCGGUGUUAUGUUCCCGGAUUUUGCGUUCCUUACGCGGUCGGGUGAUUUAUGGGACCCCCUUGACAGUUCGCUUUGAAUAAAACUCCUCCAGCAAGGCCCAACCUUGGUUUUACCAUUUGCCUCACCUAGCCCUUUUUCCCUUGGGUUUACGGAGCCCGAGGGUCAUCUUUAUUUUAGCCCCCCCCGGGCCAGUGCUUGUCUAAGUGUUAGUCCGAACCGAGUAGACUGCGGGGCCCCCUCGGGGAAACUCGAGGUCUGGUUUUACUCGUAGGAUGUCUCAUCCGGUGUUGCCCUGAGAACGAGAUAUGUGCAGCUCCUAUCGGGAUUGUCGGCGCAUCGAGCGGCUUUGCUGGUCUUGUUUUAUCGUUGUCGAAAUGUCUUGUAAACCGGGAUUCCGAGACUGAUCGGGUCUUCCAGGUACAGGUUAUGCGACGAUCUUGACGCGAGAGAGAUGUUUACUUGUUUUGGAGUUCUUCUUCUACUUCUUCUUCCAUCAGGGGAUAGGUUCCAGGUCGGCAGCCUGGGCUAGCAAUGUGGAUGUCGUUUGAGUUUCUGUUUGUGUUUCAUCCGUAGUCGGAUGGUGAUCUUAUGUAAGAUGAUGUUGUAUUCAUGUGGCAUUGUAUGCCUUACGUAUGUAUCCCUUUCUAUUAUGUAAUGUUGAUGUAAUGAUAUCCACCUUGCAAAAGCGUGUCAAUAUGCAGUUCUAUCCUUGGUGGGACCUUCGAGUCUCUUUAGGAUAGUUUCGCAUAUUGGGCGUGACAGCCGGGGGGCACGGAUCAGCACUCCCCCUCCGGGCAGGGGGCUGGGGGCUGGCGCCCUUGAGGCGACCGGGCACGCCCUGCCAGAAGCGCAGGGAGUACCCCAGCCAAUCACGGUCCACCACCAGACGAGAAGCCCACGGCAGGCUGGCUAUGCCACGAGAAGGCUCGCGAAGGAAGGCCGCGGGGAGCGCAGGGCCGCGUUGCGCCUCGGGAUGGUUCGUCUCACCAACCGGCCUCACCACAAGGGCCCUGCUGCUCGGAACGAUCGAAGACGGCGGAGAGGGCAUAGGCGAGGGGGAUGGCUCCUCAGCCACCUCCAUGAGCUCGGAAGGAAGGGCCCUGCGGAGCAAAGAUCAGGAAAGGCAACAGAAGAAUCAGGAGCUGGGAAGGGAGAAGGCUUACUCAUCGAUGGCGAAGUACUUCCUACGCUUCAGCAGGCGACAAGGGUAAUCAUCGCCCAGGGCCUCCCUUCUCUUCCGGAGGGCCUCAAAGUCCACGCGGAAACGACCCAAGAGUUGAGCGCAGGGGUUAGCUUGUGACAAGGAGGAAGCACCAAGGCGACCUGUGUCGGGGGCAUCUACCUGAUGCGCGCCGCCGGUCGCCCCACCAAGAAGAGCAGCUGGGGCCUCGGGGGCCUCAGCCGCAGGCACUGCGGGCGGCUGCUCGCCACCUUCAGCCACGGUAGCAUGGGCCUCAGGGGCUGCUCCCUCAUGAGUUCUGCCCAGUGCUGUCGCCUCGAUAGGGGCACCCUCGGCCUCCGGAGGCCCGUGCCUCCCUGCUCCGCCACUUCAGGAAGAGUCGCCCUGGCCGGCUGCGAGGGCGACCACCACCACUGGGUUCUCGCGAGGCCCCUGGAGGCCAGCAGGGCGCAGCCCCCAUUCGUCGAAGAUGGGUAUCUGACUCACGAAGUCACCUCUAUUCGAGCAGAGGUACAACAAGGCCCCCCCUUGCCGGAUGCCGCCGGGGGAAGGAUCCCCAAUCAAGACCAAGAGCACCUUCCUCAGUGCUUCAGGUGUCAGGUCCUCUUCCUGGAGCCGCAUACGAUCCCCACGACCGCUGAAGGCCCACAUCCGAUGAGAAUGGCGUUGGAGAGGGGCCACGCGGCGUAGCAAGAACUCCUUCACCACCUUGGGCGCCAUCACGCUGAGCUCCCUCAAGAACUCGAAGCGACGCCAGACAAAGGCGAGCCGGGGGCUCACGAGCGUCUCCUGGCCCUAGCUUGAGUUGGGGACAGCAGGCGAAGAUGGCUCCGUCAGCAGGGGGCUGGGCACCCCUACAUCCACAUAGAGCCACCGCUCGCAAAACCUAGGCGCGGGCGGAGGAAGACUGAAGUCAAGCCCUGAAGCUGUUGUCUCAGGCGCAGCGACGAAGCUCACGCACCCCGAACAUUGGGUGGGGUCGACAAGGUGCAGAGAGAAGAAGUGGCGCCGCAAGGCAACCGAAGGAAGGAUGCCCAUCAUUGCCUCACAAACGAAAGCGAAUACCGCGAGAAGAGUGAUGGAUUCAGGACCCAGAUGCAUCAUAUGGAUCUGAUAAUGGGAAAGCACGGCGUUGAAGAAGUCAGAAAAGGGGGGAACCAGUCCUGCCCACAGGGCGUCGGCGAAGUAACGGACCUCAGUGGAAAUCCUGUCAAUGGAGAAGCGGGACGCGGGCCAGGCCGUCGUCCUCCCGCAUUCGUUGAAGAUGGUGGCCAGGGCCGAGCUGACCUUGCCCAAGCCCUCUUGAUUGGUUAUGAUUGGCCGAUCGAUGGCGGGGGCCACCGAUGAUGAUGGGCGAGGCGGCGGCAUGGGCUUCUUCCCUCUUCCCUUCCUCGGCGGAGCCAUGACGGCAGAGAAGGGGGGGGGGAAGGUUCGAGAUUGGAUUGGAUGCGGAAACUGGAGUUCGAGAGGAGAAAGGACAGAGAGCGCUCAAGCAGCGGAAAUGGGAGCGGCUGUGUGCGGCUACGAGUCCGCCUAGCAUUGCAUAAAAUAAGGAAGCGUGGGGGAACGGUGCCACCCACGUCCAAUCAACCGCCACGCGGCGCCCAAGGCCGCAGCCUGUUAGGGCCCGCGAUGCUUCGCACUUGCCCUUUCGCCUCUCUGCUCGGCCAAGUCCGGGCGCGCCGUGGGCUCGGGGGCUACUGUCGGCGUUCUGGGAACGGGGGUCCCCAGACUUGCCUGGCUGCGGCCUGUGGCGUGGCUCAAAGGGGGCCCAGCGCGGCCCAUCUUCAUCAACACAAGCUCAAGACCCUCGCGAGGGACCAAGCCUCGCGGGGUGGACGACAGGGAGCUUCCUCAGGCACGACCUCAUCAGGCGGGCUCACGAGGAGGCGGAGAGUUCAAGGCAGGGUACCUCGCGAGGUGCCCAUGACGCAAGCCAUGACGACCAAGGGCGCCACUCGGGCGCCAGCCCGCGCAGUGUCCUCCUUUCCUCUUUGGUGCAAAGGGAGCAAGCGCAGGCGAGAGCAUCAAGCAAAGGCAUCCAUUUCGGUGCAACAAGACCAAGACCAGCCCAACGGCAGGGAGGAAGUCAUUGUGGAGCCCAAGCAGGUGUCACCACCAGAGCCUUUGGCAGGCGAGGACCAACUUUAGUAAGGAUAGGUGUACCCGCUGUUCCCCUUCAAAAUGGCCAAUUGUUGGCGCCCUUCACACUCAAUAUUUGGGGAGAGGCCCAGGGCCAUUGACUAUAAAUAGGACUAGCCAUCCCCAGGGUAGGGCAUCUGGAUCCUCACCAAGAAACCAGGUGAUAGAGCGACUGAACUCCUCCUAGCAGUUUGUCGCACCAGCCAAGAACAGACACUCGCAAGGCUGUUCCUCCUUGUGUUGUUCAUCAUCAUCCCAAGAGGCAAUCCACCACACCACACACUUGAGUAGGGUAUUACACCACAAUGGUGGCCUGAACCAGUAUAAACCCUGUGUCUCUUGUGUUGUUCUUUUCGUAGUUUAGAUCCUAGCGAUUCGGCGAGGAGCAGGUAGAUAGAGGGCGAAAUCUCCGCGCCUACCCCAGUGUUCGAAUCUCAAGGGUCUGCCGGAACCCGAAAUUUGACAUAUACUUUGUUUUCCAUCAAGAUAUGGUCGAUGCUUCUUUUUGUGGCCGCCUAUUUCACCCUCCUUUAUUGGUGAGUAAUUGAUUCCUUUUUUGCCUCUGUUAAAACAGGGAUAUCUAAUCAACUUGUUACUAUUGCGUUAUUUUGCUUGGCUAGUGAAACACUUUUGUUUUAAGAGUGUUUUGUGCAGUUCAACUUGAAUGUCACACCAGCGACUUUGCUUAAUUUUUGUGGAACAACACAAAAGGAUAUCAAGGAUUUUCAUUUAUGUGUUGGGAUUUCUUUCAAGUCAUCCUCACGAGUUGUUUCAAAUCUUGGUCAAGAAAGGUCAGUACCGACUUUCAUCCACAUGAUGCUGCAGUGUGCUUUGAUAUGUUGUGCUACUUGUAUGGGUACUAUUUUGGAUAAAUGUUGAAUUGAAGCUAUUGAACUACUGUCUUUUACCAUUAAGUGGGCAAAAAUUGUUCCAACCCAGACAUGAUGCUUGUUUCUUUGUUACAACAAAACUCUACAUCACCCCUGAGGGAGUCCUGGACUAGGGGGUGUCCGGAUAGCUGGACUAUCAAUAUCCGCCGGACUCCUAGACUACGAAGAUAGAAGAUUGAAGACUCCGAUUCGUGUCCGGAUGGUACUUUCCUUGGCGUGGAAGGCAAGCUUGGCGAUACGGAUACGUAGAUCUCCUACCAUUGUAACCGACUCUGUGUAACCCUAGCCCUCUCCGGUGUCUAUAUAAACCGGAGGGCUUUAGUCCGUAGGACAACAUACAUCUCAACAAUCAUACCAUAGGCUAGCUUCUAGGGUUUAGCCUCCUUGAUCUCGUGGUAGAUCUACUCUUGUACUACCCAUAUCAUCAAUAUUAAUCAAGCAGGACGUAGGGUUUUACCUCCAUCGAGAGGGCCCGAACCUGGGUAAAAACAUUGUGUCCCUCGUCUCUUGUUACCAUCCGCCUAGACGCACAGUUCGGGACCCCCUACCCGAGAUCCGCCGGUUUUGACACCGACAUUGGUGCUUUCAUUGAGAGUUCCUCUGUGUCGUCACCGAUAGGCUUGAUGGCAUCUUCAACCAGCAACGCUGUCCAGGGUGAGACUUUUCUCCCUGGACAGAUCUUCGUAUUCGGCGGCUUUGCACUGCGGGCCAAUUCACUUGGCCAUCUGGAGCAGAUCGAAAGCUACACCCCUGGCCGUCAGGUCAGAUUUGGAAGCUUAAACUUCACGUCCGAUGUCCGCGGAGACUUGAUCUUCGACGGACUCGAGCCACAGCCAAGCGCGCCGCACUGUGACGAUGGGCACGAUCUAGCUCUGCCGCCGGACAGUGCCCUGGUGGCCGCACUCGGAUCCGCUUCGGCCAUUAGCCCGGAGCCGAUCGCCCAGAUCGAGGGCCGGUGGAUAGACGCCGCCCCGGGGGCUUCAACAUCCACGGUGAUGGAGCCGAACAAUGACCUUGUCCCCUGCAAGACCCGUGAUUCUGAGGCGCCGGACUCCUCGCCGGACUCCGAACCUCCCGCGCCCCUACCAAUCAGUUCGGAUUGGGCGCCGGUUAUGGAAUUAACCACCGCGGACAUAUUCCAACACUCGCCUUUUGGCGAUAUCCUAAAUUCAUUAAAGCAUCUCUCGUUAUCAGGAGACUCCUGGCCGGACUAUGUCCAGGAUGGUUGGAGUACGGACGGCGAAGAAAUUCAGAGGCCACCCACCACCCACUUUGUAGCCACUGUCGAGGAUUUAACCGACAUGCUAGACUACGACUCCGAAGACAUCGACGCUUUGGACGAUGAUGCCGGAGACGAACAGGAACCAGCGCCUACAGGGCACUGGAAGGCCACCUCGUCAUAUGACGUAUACAUGGUGGAUACCCCAAAAGAAGGGGAUGGCGAAGAAGCAGCGGAGGCAGACUCUUUAAAGAAGCAGCCCAAACGCCGGCGUCAGUGGCGCCGCUCUAAAUCCCGCCACAGCAAGAAUGGAGAUUCCGGCACAGGAGACAAUAACACUCCAGAGAGCGCCGAAGACAAUCCCCUCCAGCAAGACUCAGCGCAGGAGGAUGCAGAAGCAAGCCCUCACGAGAGGGCGGCAAACAAAGGGGUUGAGGAUGAUAACUAUAUGCCUCCCUCCGAAGACGAAGCAAGCCUCAAUGAUGAUGAAUUCGUCGUACCUGAGGAUCCCAUCGAACAAGAGCGCUUCAAGCGCAGGCUUAUCGCCACAGCAAACAGCCUAAAGAAAAAGCAGCAGCAGCUUCAAGCUGAUCAGGACCUGCUGGCCGAUCAAUGGACCGAUGUCCUCGCGGCCGAAGAGUAUAAACUCGAAAGUCCCUCCAAAAGUUACCCAAGACGCAAGCUGCUCCCUCGAUUAGAGGAGGAAGCAUACAUACCUUCAUCACCAGCGCACGACAUGGCUGACCGACCACCCCGUGGUCGUGACAGAGAGGCAUCCAGGCCCCCAGCCAAGACCGUACCCCGGCAUCGCUCCAAAAGUACGAAGCCAAGAGGGAACGCGCCGGACUUGCGAGACAUAUUGGAGGACAAAGCAAGGCAAUCCAGAUCCAUCUAUGGAUCACGUGGGCGCCCUACGACCCACGACGAAUACCGUCGUGCCGGAUACAAUAACCCAGGGAGGGCCGAACACAGCAGACAGUGCUCUCUUGAGCUGCGUCGCGAUAUCGCUCAAUACAGGGGCACCGCACACCCGUUAUGCUUCACUGAAGAAGUAAUGGAUCAUCAGAGCCCCGAAGGGUUUAAACCCGUAAACAUCGAAUCUUACGAUGGCACAACUGACCCCGCGGUGUGGAUCGAAGACUACCUUCUCCAUAUCCAUAUGGCCCGCGGCGAUGAUCUACAUGCCAUCAAGUAUCUCCCACUCAAGCUUAAAGGACCAGCUCGGCAUUGGCUUAACAGCUUGCCCGCAGAGACAAUUGGGUGUUGGGAAGACCUGGAGGCCGCGUUCCUUGAUAACUUCCAAGGCACAUAUGUGCGACCACCAGACGCUGAUGACCUAAGCCACAUCAUUCAGCAGCCAGACGAAUCGGCCAGACAAUUCUGGACACAGUUCUUGACAAAGAAAAACCAAGUCAUCGACUGUCCGGAUGCAGAGGCCCUCGCAGCCUUCAAACAUAACAUCCGGGACGAAUGGCUAGCACGGCACCUGGGGCAGGAAAAGCCGAAAUCCAUGGCAGCCCACACAUCGUUAAUGACCCGCUUUUGCGCGGGAGAGGACAGCUGGCUAGCUUGCAGCAACAAUCUCCGUAAAAAUUCUGGCAGUCCGGAUACUAAGGACAACAACGGCAGGUCACGUCGAACCAAAAACAAGCGCUGCAUUAACGGCGACGAUAAGGAGGAUACGGCAGUCAAUGCCGGAUUCCGAGGCUCUAAACACGGUCAGCGGAAGAAGCCAUUUAAAAGAACCACUCCGGGUCCGUCCAAUCUGGACCGUAUACUCGACCGCUUAUGCCAGAUACAUGGCACCUCUGAAAAGCCAGCUAAUCACACCAAUAGAGAUUGUUGGGUGUUCAAGCAGGCUGGCAAGUUAAUUGCCGAAAACAAUGACAAGGGGCUAAAUAGCGACGACGAGGAAGAGACCCGGCCGCCGAACAAUAGAGGACAGAAGGGUUUUCCCCCACAAGUGCGGACGGUGAAUAUGAUAUACGCGACCCAUAUACCCAAGAGGGCGAGGAAGCGCGCACUACGGGACGUCUACGCGAUGGAGCCAGUCGCCCCAAAGUUCAAUCCAUGGUCCUCUUGCCUGAUCACUUUCGAUCGAAGAGACCAUCCGACCAGCAUACGCCAUGGAGGAUUCGCCGCAUUGGUUUUAGACCCAAUCGUCGAUGGGUUCCACCUCACGAGAGUCCUGAUGGACGGCGGUAGCAGCCUGAACCUGCUUUAUCAGGAUACAGUGCACAAAAUGGGCAUAGACCCAUCAAGGAUUAAACCUACAAACACAACCUUUAAAGAUGUCAUCCCAGGAGUGGAAGCCAACUGUACAGGCUCAGUCACACUGGAAGUGGUCUUCGGAUCCCCGGAUAAUUUCCGAAGCGAAGAGUUAAUCUUCGAUAUAGUCCCGUUCCGUAGCGGCUAUCAUGCUCUGCUCGGACGAACCGCGUUUGCAAAAUUCAACGCGGUGCCCCAUUAUGCAUACCUAAAGCUCAAGAUGCCAGGCCCUCAUUGAGUCAUCACGGUCAAUGGAAAUACGGAACGCUCCCUCCGUACGGAGGAACAUACAGCGGCUCUCGCGGCAGAAGUACAGAGCAGCCUUGUCAGGCAAUUCUCAAGUCCGGCAGUUAGAAAGCCGGAUACAGCAAAGCGCGCCCGGAGCAAUGCCAACCAAGACCACCUGGCGCGGUCAGAUCACGCGUAGCAAUGCGGCCCCAGCCCCCGCCCGCACAUGAUCGCAAGAAUAACACUCCGCGUACAUCCUUACGCUUUGGAGAUUCCAUGGGCGCAGGGAAAGGGGCACGACCACAAUGGACCCAGAGUGCGGUUCGACCACACCAGGGGCUCGCAAGUGGGCCCCCCUUCCUUUUUAUUUUUUAUUUUAUGAACGCAGGACUCUGUUAACCAGAAGCCCUGUCCGGCGGCGAACCUGCCGAACUCACGAUACAACAGUCAGGGACCAAAGAAGGCCGCGACGAACAUUCAGGUGGUCUCAGUUAUGAGCAUUAAAUUCGAUUAAUAUACACCAAGUCUGUAGCUCAUCCCUGGAGAGGGACAUGUUUGUUUACUCCAAAUCCCUUGCUUACCGCACUAUUUGUAUCAGUCCGAUCUACUAUCAGACUUUCUUUUUAAAAUAAUGCAGCACCUUUUUAUUGCAAUUGCGUUAUCUUUUAUAUAUGUUCAUUAUAUGACAUCUUGCACCCGUAUAUUUUGGUACGGCCGAAUACGCCAGGGGCUUCUGUUCCCCAGAUUAUGGUGUGAUAAAGUCCGAACACUUUCACAAGUGCGGCACCCCAAACUUAUAGCAUUAUAUGAAUCGGCUCCGAAUCAUGUCUUGGGUCAAUAGUUGGGUUUGCCCGGCUCCCAUGUUUUGGUGCCUUACGUUCCGUUCCGUUGGCUAAGGUAGCACUGGGAGAACCACUGCGAUUGCGCCCCGGUUGAGCCGGGUUAACGCCUCAGUGGAGAAAGCUAAAACUGACUGGCAUGAUAAG
rnacentral:lncRNA from 1 species